GCGAGAUUGAAAGGCCCAUCAUUUCUCCUUUCUAUCUUUUCUCAGAAAAUCAUAACCGUGCUCUUUGAUCUCUAGGACAGGCACAAUAAAAAGUAUUCUGGUUAUUUUUUGCAGAUAGAUUAUGAUGAAAAUGAAGUGCAAUGUGGAUAUAUUUUUCAUUGUUUUGAACUUGAUUAUGGAUUUUAGAGAGAACCACAAAGGUCUGUUUUUAGGGUCACUUUCAAUUUUUUAUUGUAUAUAUGUUAAUGCGUAUUCUGUGGAAUUUUAUCCUUUUUUCUUGAUUUAAUCAUUAUCUGAUGUGAAUUUCAGACAACUAGAGUGUGAAGCCCAUAAGGAAAAAGACUACUGGUACUGGACACAUGAGUUACCUCCUCCAUGUUUCCUGCAGAUUCAAGACCAACUUAAGAGAAUGUAUAAUCUUAUUAAUUUAAGUUUUUAAUUUUUGUAGUUCAUUUUUUGUUUGGAUGCUUGAGUUUGCCUUUUAUGAUGAAUAGACAAGAGGCCAAUAUUGGUUUGAAUGCUCAAAUUAA
rnacentral:lncRNA from 1 species